rfam:Ophiophagus hannah scaffold295.1, whole genome shotgun sequence.
UUAAACAGUCAUGCUACUCUGAAAAUCCUGAUCUCAUUUGAUUUUGGAAAUUAACCAGGGUCAGACUUGGUUAGUACCAGUAUUUGGAUGUGGGGACUGUUUGGGAAUAUCAGAUGCUUUAGG